GGGAUAAGUGCUGAAAGCAUCUAAGCAUGAAGCCCCCCUCAAGAUGAGAUUUCCCAUAGCGUUAAGCUAGUAAGAUCCCUGAAAGAUGAUCAGGUUGAUAGGUUCGAGGUGGAAGCGUGGUGACACGUGGAGCUGACGAAUACUAAUAGAUCGAGGACUUAACCAU
rnacentral:rRNA from 1 species